UUAAGCGACUAAGCGUACACGGUGGAUGCCCUGGCAGUCAGAGGCGAUGAAGGACGUGCUAAUCUGCGAUAAGCGUCGGUAAGGUGAUAUGAACCGUUAUAACCGGCGAUUUCCGAAUGGGGAAACCCAGUGUGUUUCGACACACUAUCAUUAACUGAAUCCAUAGGUUAAUGAGGCGAACCGGGGGAACUGAAACAUCUAAGUACCCCGAGGAAAAGAAAUCAACCGAGAUUCCCCCAGUAGCGGCGAGCGAACGGGGAGCAGCCCAGAGCCUGAAUCAGUAUGUGUGUUAGUGGAAGCGUCUGGAAAGGCGCGCGAUACAGGGUGACAGCCCCGUACACAAAAAUGCACAUAUUGUGAGCUCGAUGAGUAGGGCGGGACACGUGGUAUCCUGUCUGAAUAUGGGGGGACCAUCCUCCAAGGCUAAAUACUCCUGACUGACCGAUAGUGAACCAGUACCGUGAGGGAAAGGCGAAAAGAACCCCGGCGAGGGGAGUGAAAAAGAACCUGAAACCGUGUACGUACAAGCAGUGGGAGCACGCUUAGGCGUGUGACUGCGUACCUUUUGUAUAAUGGGUCAGCGACUUAUAUUCUGUAGCAAGGUUAACCGAAUAGGGGAGCCGAAGGGAAACCGAGUCUUAACUGGGCGUUAAGUUGCAGGGUAUAGACCCGAAACCCGGUGAUCUAGCCAUGGGCAGGUUGAAGGUUGGGUAACACUAACUGGAGGACCGAACCGACUAAUGUUGAAAAAUUAGCGGAUGACUUGUGGCUGGGGGUGAAAGGCCAAUCAAACCGGGAGAUAGCUGGUUCUCCCCGAAAGCUAUUUAGGUAGCGCCUCGUGAAUUCAUCUCCGGGGGUAGAGCACUGUUUCGGCAAGGGGGUCAUCCCGACUUACCAACCCGAUGCAAACUGCGAAUACCGGAGAAUGUUAUCACGGGAGACACACGGCGGGUGCUAACGUCCGUCGUGAAGAGGGAAACAACCCAGACCGCCAGCUAAGGUCCCAAAGUCAUGGUUAAGUGGGAAACGAUGUGGGAAGGCCCAGACAGCCAGGAUGUUGGCUUAGAAGCAGCCAUCAUUUAAAGAAAGCGUAAUAGCUCACUGGUCGAGUCGGCCUGCGCGGAAGAUGUAACGGGGCUAAACCAUGCACCGAAGCUGCGGCAGCGACACUAUGUGUUGUUGGGUAGGGGAGCGUUCUGUAAGCCUGUGAAGGUGUGCUGUGAGGCAUGCUGGAGGUAUCAGAAGUGCGAAUGCUGACAUAAGUAACGAUAAAGCGGGUGAAAAGCCCGCUCGCCGGAAGACCAAGGGUUCCUGUCCAACGUUAAUCGGGGCAGGGUGAGUCGACCCCUAAGGCGAGGCCGAAAGGCGUAGUCGAUGGGAAACAGGUUAAUAUUCCUGUACUUGGUGUUACUGCGAAGGGGGGACGGAGAAGGCUAUGUUGGCCGGGCGACGGUUGUCCCGGUUUAAGCGUGUAGGCUGGUUUUCCAGGCAAAUCCGGAAAAUCAAGGCUGAGGCGUGAUGACGAGGCACUACGGUGCUGAAGCAACAAAUGCCCUGCUUCCAGGAAAAGCCUCUAAGCAUCAGGUAACAUCAAAUCGUACCCCAAACCGACACAGGUGGUCAGGUAGAGAAUACCAAGGCGCUUGAGAGAACUCGGGUGAAGGAACUAGGCAAAAUGGUGCCGUAACUUCGGGAGAAGGCACGCUGAUAUGUAGGUGAAGUCCCUCGCGGAUGGAGCUGAAAUCAGUCGAAGAUACCAGCUGGCUGCAACUGUUUAUUAAAAACACAGCACUGUGCAAACACGAAAGUGGACGUAUACGGUGUGACGCCUGCCCGGUGCCGGAAGGUUAAUUGAUGGGGUUAGCCGCAAGGCGAAGCUCUUGAUCGAAGCCCCGGUAAACGGCGGCCGUAACUAUAACGGUCCUAAGGUAGCGAAAUUCCUUGUCGGGUAAGUUCCGACCUGCACGAAUGGCGUAAUGAUGGCCAGGCUGUCUCCACCCGAGACUCAGUGAAAUUGAACUCGCUGUGAAGAUGCAGUGUACCCGCGGCAAGACGGAAAGACCCCGUGAACCUUUACUAUAGCUUGACACUGAACAUUGAGCCUUGAUGUGUAGGAUAGGUGGGAGGCUUAGAAGUGUGGACGCCAGUCUGCAUGGAGCCGACCUUGAAAUACCACCCUUUAAUGUUUGAUGUUCUAACGUUGACCCGUAAUCCGGGUUGCGGACAGUGUCUGGUGGGUAGUUUGACUGGGGCGGUCUCCUCCUAAAGAGUAACGGAGGAGCACGAAGGUUGGCUAAUCCUGGUCGGACAUCAGGAGGUUAGUGCAAUGGCAUAAGCCAGCUUGACUGCGAGCGUGACGGCGCGAGCAGGUGCGAAAGCAGGUCAUAGUGAUCCGGUGGUUCUGAAUGGAAGGGCCAUCGCUCAACGGAUAAAAGGUACUCCGGGGAUAACAGGCUGAUACCGCCCAAGAGUUCAUAUCGACGGCGGUGUUUGGCACCUCGAUGUCGGCUCAUCACAUCCUGGGGCUGAAGUAGGUCCCAAGGGUAUGGCUGUUCGCCAUUUAAAGUGGUACGCGAGCUGGGUUUAGAACGUCGUGAGACAGUUCGGUCCCUAUCUGCCGUGGGCGCUGGAGAACUGAGGGGGGCUGCUCCUAGUACGAGAGGACCGGAGUGGACGCAUCACUGGUGUUCGGGUUGUCAUGCCAAUGGCACUGCCCGGUAGCUAAAUGCGGAAGAGAUAAGUGCUGAAAGCAUCUAAGCACGAAACUUGCCCCGAGAUGAGUUCUCCCUGACUCCUUGAGAGUCCUGAAGGAACGUUGAAGACGACGACGUUGAUAGGCCGGGUGUGUAAGCGCAGCGAUGCGUUGAGCUAACCGGUACUAAUGAACCGUGAGGCUUAACCU
rnacentral:rRNA from 1 species